CCUACGGGAGGCAGCAGUGAGGAAUAUUGGUCAAUGGCCGAGAGGCUGAACCAGCCAAGUCGCGUGAGGGAUGACGGCCCUACGGGUUGUAAACCUCUUUUGCCGGGGAGCAAAGAGCGGGACGCGUCCCGCCCCGAGAGUACCCGGAGAAAACGCAUAGGCUAACUCCGUGCCAGCAGCCGCGGUCAUACGGAGGAUGCGAGCGUUAUCCGGCUUUAUUGGGGUUCAAGGGUGCGCGGGCGGAAGACCAAGUCAGCGGUAAAAUUGAGAGGGUCAACCUCUUCCCGCCGUUGAAACUGCUUUUCUGGAGUGGGCGAGAAGUACGCGGAAUGCGUGGUGUAGCGGUGAAAUGCAUAGAUAUCACGCAGAACUCCGAUUGCGAAGGCAGCGUACCGGCGCCCAACUGACGCUCAUGCACGAAAGCGUGGGUAUCGAACAGGAUUAGAUACCCCUGUAGUC
rnacentral:rRNA from 1 species